rnacentral:rRNA from 1 species
CACGUAGGGCGCAAGCGUUGUCCGGAAUUAUUGGGCGUAAAGAGCUCGUAGGCGGUCUGUUGCGUCUGCUGUGAAAACCCGGGGCUUAACCCCUGGCUUGCAGUGGAUACGGACAGACUAGAGGUAGGUAGGGGAGAAUGGAAUUCCCGGUGUAGCGGUGAAAUGCGCAGAUAUCGGGAGGAACACCGGUGGCGAAGGCGGUUCUCUGGGCCUUACCUGACGCUGAGGAGCGAAAGC